rnacentral:rRNA from 1 species
AACGCUAGCUACAGGCUUAACACAUGCAAGUCGAGGGGCAGCGCAGUGUAGCAAUACAUGGGCGGCGACCGGCGCACGGGUGCGUAACGCGUAUCCAACCUUCCCGUUACUCUUGGAUAGCCUUCCGAAAGGGAGAUUAAUACAGGAUGGUAUCUGAAUUUCGCAUGUUACUCAGAUUAAAGAUUUAUCGGUAACGGAUGGGGAUGCGUGACAUUAGGUAGAUGGCGGGGUAACGGCCCACCAUGCCGACGAUGUCUAGGGGUUCUGAGAGGAAGGUCCCCCACACUGGAACUGAGACACGGUCCAGACUCCUACGGGAGGCAGCAGUGAGGAAUAUUGGUCAAUGGUCGGAAGACUGAACCAGCCAAGUAGCGUGAAGGAUGAAGGUUCUAUGGAUUGUAAACUUCUUUUAUACGGGAAUAAAGCCCGCUACGUGUAGCGGUUUGUAUGUACCGUAUGAAUAAGCAUCGGCUAACUCCGUGCCAGCAGCCGCGGUAAUACGGAGGAUGCGAGCGUUAUCCGGAUUUAUUGGGUUUAAAGGGAGCGUAGACGGGGAAUUAAGUCAGUUGUGAAAGGCUGCGGCUCAACCGCAGCACUGCAGUUGAUACUGGUUCCCUUGAGUGCGGUUGAGGUGUAUGGAAUUCGUGGUGUAGCGGUGAAAUGCUUAGAUAUCACGAAGAACUCCGAUUGCGAAGGCAGUACACUAAGCCGUAACUGACGUUGAGGCUCGAAAGUGUGGGUAUCAAACAGGAUUAGAUACCCUGGUAGUCCACACGGUAAACGAUGAAUACUCGCUGUUGGCGAUAUACAGUCAGCGGCCAAGCGAAAGCAUUAAGUAUUCCACCUGGGGAGUACGCCGGCAACGGUGAAACUCAAAGGAAUUGACGGGGGCCCGCACAAGCGGAGGAACAUGUGGUUUAAUUCGAUGAUACGCGAGGAACCUUACCCGGGCUUAAAUUGCAGGGGACAGACCGAGAGAUCGGUCCUUCUUCGGACUCCUGUGAAGGUGCUGCAUGGUUGUCGUCAGCUCGUGCCGUGAGGUGUCGGCUUAAGUGC